UGCUUGCAGUUUGAAAGGUAGUGGACACAUAGAUUAUGACGAAACAAUUGUUAGACCAGUUCCAAGAUCAUAUAGAGCCAGACUGUCACCCCAUACAUGCCCUUGGUGAGCCAUCUCUCACUCUCAUCAAAGGGAAUACUCACACCAAUGCUAACUUUUCACCAAUAUCUGAAGAAGGUAAAAACACAUGCAGUAUUAUAACCACAAAUGUCCCAGGGCAGGAGGAACUACUAAUUAGUCCAGAAAACUGAUGUGAUACUGGAAAUUUGAAGAUGAAUGGUAAAAGGUUAAUAGAAGUUUAAUAAAGG
rnacentral:lncRNA from 1 species